rnacentral:rRNA from 1 species
UAAGACGGAGGGUGCGAGCGUUGUUCGGAAUUACUGGGCGUAAAGCGCGCGCAGGUGGGUGCGCAAGUCGGAGGUGAAAGCGCAGGGCUCAACCCUGCGACGCCCUUCGAGACUGCGUGUCUAGGGACCGGUAGAGGUGAGUGGAAUUCCCGGUGUAGCGGUGGAAUGCGUAGAUAUCGGGAAGAACACCGGAGGCGAAGGCGGCUCACUGGGCCGGAUCCGACACUGAGGCGCGAAAGCGUGGGGAGCAAACAGGAUUAGAUACCCUGGUAGUCCACGCCGUAAACGAUGGGUGCUAGGUGUCGGGGGGAGCGACCCCCUCGGUGCCGCAGCUAACGCAUUAAGCACCCCGCCUGGGGAGUACGGCCGCAAGGCUG